rnacentral:lncRNA from 1 species
GCUCACCCACUGCUACAAAGAGUUUCAUCUCCUUGUAAGAUCAGAAUCACAGACAAGUCAACCAACAUAAUUAUGAAAUGAUUAAAAAAAAAGGUUUACAUCAAUGUGGUGAUGUGGCGCUCUCCUGGGCUUGGGCCUAAGCCACGCCAGAUGAGGGACAGCCUCUCACGGUGAGCUAGGCCGCACCUCUCAUUCUGUCCGCGGGCCCCUCGCUGCUCCUCCCCCACCUGCGGGUGUUGUGGGGGAAGAUAGGGGUGCGGCCUCUGGCCUGACCUCUGGUCUCCCGCCCUGCUGCCUUCUGGUGUCAGUCAGGGGGGGGGCCUGGGUCCUUUGGGACGCAGCAGGCAUUCUCGCUUUGCCGCCUUGGCGUGUGCCUUGCGAGCGGUCCCUCCCCAAAGUGGGGGGGAGGCCUCCCUCGCUGCCAUGCUUCGCAUCCCUGCGGGUGCGUGAGCGUGCCUCCCCUGGUCCUCUGUGGUGCCCCUGGAGUACUCCGGGUUGCCUGUCAGAUGCCCGAGGCCGAGCGGUGGUGUCGUUUUCCUCUCCCAGCGGUGAGUCCCCUCGGGUCCCCACUGUGGUGGUGGCGUGCCCCACGAGCAGCUUCCUAAAGCUCAGGGGAGGGGGUCGAGACGGUAAGGCAGGGGAAGCUUGUGUCCCCUCCCCGGGAGGGGCUCAGGUGGACCCCUUGUCAUGGGUCUCCCUCACUGUGUGCCAGUGAGGGCAGCCCUUGGCCCUUGAGUGGCACGCCCCAUGCUUCUCCCUUGACCGGGAAGGCUGCAUGUGGUCGUGAGAGCGACCGCGGUGGGCCGGGAGAUGUGAAGGGGGGGUCCCCGUCUGGCUUUCCGGACGUGGCAUCCCUCCACCCACGUGGAAAAGUCUGAAAGGCAAGCCUGGUGGCAGCACAGACUCUUGCCCUCCCGGCUCUGACCGUGGACGCUCACAUGGGCUGUGUGCUUUACCCAUACCGCAGACCCCCCCCCCUUCUGACUUCCCACUUUUUGGGAGUGUUCCCACUCCCGUGGGUCCCCGAAGGGGCGAGCGUGGUGCCCCUCCCCUUGGAAGGGGAAGUGGAGGAGGGGGAUGCACCCCGUCCCCCGGCGGCCUCUGCCCCCGCCUCCCCCGCUGCGAGCCGCCCGUCGGUUCUUCCCGCACUCGCCUGGGGUCGCAGCUGGUGGUGUGGAGGUGGUGAGCGAGCAUGGUUCGGGCCGCCUCGCUCAGGAGCGUUUCCCCCAGGCGUCAGGCCCUGGAGGGUGGACUAGGUGAAGGACGGAUGAGAUGAGGGUGGAAAGAUGGACGGAUGGGUGAGAUGAGGCGGACGA